rnacentral:rRNA from 1 species
UAGGGAAUCUUCCGCAAUGGGCGAAAGCCUGACGGAGCAACGCCGCGUGAGUGAUGAAGGUCUUCGGAUCGUAAAACUCUGUUAUUAGGGAAGAACAAAUGUGUAAGUAACUAUGCACGUCUUGACGGUACCUAAUCAGAAAGCCACGGCUAACUACGUGCCAGCAGCCGCGGUAAUACGUAGGUGGCAAGCGUUAUCCGGAAUUAUUGGGCGUAAAGCGCGCGUAGGCGGUUUUUUAAGUCUGAUGUGAAAGCCCACGGCUCAACCGUGGAGAGUCAUUGGAAACUGGAAAACUUGAGUGCAGAAGAGGAAAGUGGAAUUCCAUGUGUAGCAGUGAAAUGCGCAGAGAUAUGGAGGAACACCAGUGGCGAAGGCGACUUUCUGGUCUGUAACUGACGCUGAUGUGCGAAAGCGUGGGGAUCAAACAGG